UGAAAGAAAGCACUAAUUCAACAAAAAAAGUUUUGUAGGUUAAUGAAAAAAAUCAAGAAGUAAAGUUGUUUUGUAGGCGAGUAUAAAGAUUGAGUGAGACUAUAGCUCCCAUUUAUCACAGAUGGUACCACCCUUUGCGCCCCGGGAACAUAAGGGCAAAAUUGCUAAAAGAAUUUGGGUAAAGGGGGUAUAUUUAAGCCACUGCUAAGCAAGUCCCAAACUCCAUACAGCAUCGUUUAAUAUGCAGUAUGGCGUUUUAAGAUGCAAAUCUAGGUGUAGCAUAAUUAUUCUAGAUUUUUUUUUAAACCCAAGCUUAACUGCUAGUUUGCACGUCAGAGGGGAGAAAACGAUGUAUAGGAUUAGAGACGUAGCCACACCUCUCAUCCUCUAGGCACUGGCCUUUAAAAAUCCUAACAGAGUCAAAAAUAACACGUUUUUUUCUUUCACAACAGACAGUGGUAGUGAAUUUGUGUAUAGACUCGGUUUAUGUAUUAAAAAUAUGCAUCCAUAAACAGUUCUACCCAUACCUCGGAGGAACGUUCUUCAUUUGGCGCGUUAAACACUUCGUGUUCCUCGGACUUCCACAUUAAACGUGAGAGGUUGUAGGGAGCCAGGGUCCAUAGAGUAACAUAAUGAAGAAGGCAAUGAACCAAUUCUGGACACCUAUGACCAAUUUAGAGGCUUGCCAAUUCACCUUAGCUUGUGCUUGAGUUGCGGAAUGAAACAAUCACACCCAAUUAAAGUCUACUGCAGGAGAGACCAGCAAGAUUCUCUGCAUAGAAGGCUACUUAAACAGGAUCAAAAAGUGAAAGAAUUGAACUGAGGCAGCAAUGCUAAUCAGUGCAUCCACAUGUGCCAUCAAUGCAUCCUAAAUGAUCCAUCAAUGUGAAAGACCUAUGUCUACAGUACUUGAGGGAAGAGGUAGUAAGUUGAUUUCAGGAGUAAAACAUGCAUUACUAAAGAGUUGUAUCUGGUAUAACAAUAUCUAUCCGGACAUGAUACUUCUGGAGGUGCCUACACUGAGAAUGAAGCUAGAUAGGCUCUGUAUAUAAAUAAUUGUAUUUGUAUAUACCUCAAAGCAUGAAUUCUUGGCAGUUAGAUUUUACUCUGAAAUAGAUGUAUUUUCUUAAGUUUCUGCUUUUUUUAUAUAUGUAUUUAAAGAAAAUUAAAAUGAUUUCCAUGCUACAGCA